AUUGAACGCUGGCGGCAGGCCUAACACAUGCAAGUCGAGCGAGAGGCGGAGGGGUGUGUAAUGUCUGGGGAACUGCCUGAUGGAGGGGGGUAACUACUGGAAACGGUGGCGCAUACCCCAUACCCUCUGAUGUGCCCCAAUGGGAUUAGCUAGUAGGUGGGGUAACGGCUCACCUAGGCGACGAUCCCUAGCUGGUCUGAGAGGAUGACCAGCCACACUGGAACGGAGACACGGUCCAGACUCCUACGGGAGGCAGCAGUGGGGAAUAUUGCACAAUGGGCGCAAGCCUGAUGCAGCCAUGCCGCGUGUGUGAAGAAGGCCUUCGGGUUGUAAAGCACUUUCAGCGGGGAGGCGUUACCCGCAGAAGAAGCACCGGCUAACUCCGUGCCAGCCGCCGCGGUAGUAC
rnacentral:rRNA from 1 species